rnacentral:rRNA from 1 species
CCUGAGAAACCCAAAAGAUCGAAUGGGGAGAUUCAUCGUCAGCUCAUUUUAUAUAUAUGCAAGUUAUGAUAUGGGUUACUAUUCUUUAAUCGGUCUUAGUAUUGCCUGUACAUUCUUGUAUAUUUUAUUGUAAGAUGUUGUCGGCGUGCACUUCUCCCCUAGUAGGACGUCGCAACCCGUUGAGUUUAUUAUAUAUAUUGUUGGUCUAUGGCCCGAGUGGAAGCUUUUAAUGUGAUUAUUUUAUUAUAAUUCAUUAAAAACCCUUGGUGUUACCUGACUGGCACUCAUCGGUAUUCAAAUAUGGUAUUGAGCCGCAUAAUACACAAACUAUAUGCGUCCAUAUCUGUCACAAGCGAGGUUAAUUACUGAUAGUACGGACAUAGUGCCGUCGUUGGUACUAACCAGCUGUUAGUUGUACAGAAUUCUAGGACUGGCUAAAAAAAUAAAAUACCGGUUAGCGAUGCUAAUGCUUUGGG